CCUCAGAUCAGGCAGGAUUACCCGCUGAACUUAAGCAUAUCAAUAAGCGGAGGAAAAGAAACUAACAAGGAUUCCCCUAGUAACGGCGAGUGAAGCGGGAAGAGCUCAAAUUUGUAAUCUGGCACUUUCAGUGUCCGAGUUGUAAUCUCGAGAAGUAUUUUCCGCGCCGGACCGCAUACAAGUCUGUUGGAAUACAGCGUCAUAGUGGUGAGAACCCCGUAACUGAUGCGGAUGCCCGGUGCUUUGUGAUAUACUUUCGAAGAGUCGAGUUGUUUGGGAAUGCAGCUCAAAUUGGGUGGUAAAUUCCAUCUAAAGCUAAAUAUUGGAGCAAGACCGAUAGCGAACAAGUACCGUGAGGGAAAGAUGAAAAGCACUUUGGAAAGAGAGUUAACAGUACGUGAAAUUGUUGGAAGGGAAACGCUUGAAGUCAGACUUGCUAUUCGGAGUUCAGCCGCAAGGUGUAUUCUUCGAUUUGCAGGCCAGCAUCAGUUUUUGGGGGUGGAAAAUCGUGGUUUGAAUGUAGCAGCUUCGGCUGUGUUAUAGCUUUCCACUGGAUUCAUCUUCGGGGACUGAGGAACGCAGUACGCUUUUGCAAGGCUCUCGAGCUUUUCGUACUUA
rnacentral:rRNA from 1 species